CAACCUGUGCAGUGAUGUACAGCUGAAUAGCCAGAAGUCAGCAGAGGUCGUAGUACUAAAUUGAACAUGAACAAUUUAGGAAGGGC
rfam:Candidatus Margulisbacteria bacterium GWE2_39_32 gwe2_scaffold_908, whole genome shotgun sequence.